GUUUUUCUUGUGUCAGGAUAGUUUGCUAACACGGGGGUUGGUCUUGAACGUGUGUAAAUGAUAUAUUGUGCUGCAUGUGCUUCCCAUCGUGCAUUCAGUCAGUGUACAGGUACAAACUGCCAUCGGUGCAUGAUAUGACCGCAGGGCAAGCAGGACGGGACCAGCGGCAUAAAGCAGGUUGAGCAGGAAGACGGGCAGCAGGGACGUGGCAGGGGUUCUGAACGUUUCUUUGUACUCACCUGUAAAAUGGCACCUGCAAAAAACACCGUCCAGUCCAGCAUCCAGCUGCAGCCUGGUGUGCACAGCCCAAAUACAAACGAACCCAGCACUGGAAACCCAUGGAACAACAGCAACAACAUCUGAAAG